UUUCCUUUUCUUUUCCUUCAUCUUUCAUCUUAGAAUCAAUAUUGUGCAUUGGUUCUAAGGCAGUAGAGUGGUAAGGGAUAGGCAAUGGGGGGUUAAGUGACUUGCCCAGGGUCACAUAGAUGGGAAGUGUCUGAGACCAGACUUGAACCUAGGACCUCCCAUCUCUAAGAGGUCUGGCUCUCAAUCCACUGAGCCACCCAGCUGCCCCCUUGUCUAUUUUCUCACUGUGUUUUGCCCCCAGAGACAUAUUAAAUGCCAGUUUUUAAAAACUCAUGGGUCCCAGCUGUGUGACCUUGGGCAAGUCACUUGAACCCCACUGUCUAGCCCUGACCACUCUUCUGCCUUGGAACCAACACACAGCAUUGACUCCAAGACGAAAGGGGAGGAAAUCGAGAUCUAGAGAGAGGAUGAAUUUGUCCAAGGUCCUUCCUACAGGUGGUCUGCAACUAAGUGGGUCUUUGGAAUGAGGUUGUGAGCUUUUCUGAGGACACCCAAAAAGAGACAAGCCAUGCCUACAGAUUUGCAUUUCGUUAUCAAGGGAUCCUUGGAUCCUUAAGAGCCUGUUGGGCUAUUUAUAUCCAUGAGAUCACAUGCCAAACACUCUGCAUUCCUUUCCAUGCUGUGAAAUUAGAACAACCAACAUUGACCUUGGAGAAGAGAUGAGAAACUGAACCUUCUUCCUUUCUCUGGAGAAAUGGGAGACUAUGGAUUUGAAAGACGUUGGCAGACAUAGUUAAUGUAUGGUUUUUGGUUUUAUUCUUGGCUAUGUAAAAAUGGAGACUUGAAUCCAGGACUUCAAUCCCCAGAAGCCCUUGCUCCACUUCCCCAGAAUACCUUGUAACCUCACCUGGGCCAAGAGCAAGAUGGGGUACUUAACCUGGUUGUAAAAAGGCUCAGCCCUUCUUUCCUACUUCCACUUGGGAGCAGAUGCAGCUCUCCACCUAGCAGACAAGAUGUGAGUGGUUGUGAAUAGGCUCUUUGGGCCUAGACACGUGCCUCUCUUACUUGUAUUUUCUUUAUAUUUUAAUCUUCAAUAAACCUCUAAAAAUAUAAUACUCCUGGCA
rnacentral:lncRNA from 1 species